rnacentral:rRNA from 1 species
GACGAACGCUGGCGGCGUGCUUAACACAUGCAAGUCGAACGGAAAGGCCCUGCUUUUGUGGGGUGCUCGAGUGGCGAACGGGUGCGUAACACGUGAGUAACCUGCCCUUGACUUUGGGAUAACUUCAGGAAACUGGGGCUAAUACCGGCUAGGAGCUCCUGCUGCAUGGUGGGGGUUGGAAAGUUUCGGCGGUUGGGGAUGGACUCGCGGCUUAUCAGCUUGUUGGUGGGGUAGUGGCUUACCAAGGCUUUGACGGGUAGCCGGCCUGAGAGGGUGACCGGCCACUGUAGGACUGAGAUACGGCCCAGACUCCUGCGGGAGGCAGCAGUGGGGAAUAGUGCACAAUGGACGGAAGCCUGAUGCAGCAACGCCGCGUGCGGGAUGACGGCCUUCGGGUUGUAAACCGCUUUCGCCUGUGACGAAGCGUGAGUGACGGUAAUGGGUAAAGAAGCACCGGCUAACUACGUG